rnacentral:rRNA from 1 species
UACGUAGGGGGCAAGCGUUAUCCGGAUUUACUGGGUGUAAAGGGGGCGCAGACGGCAAUGCAAGCCAGGAGUGAAAGCCCGGGGCCCAACCCCGGGACUGCUCUUGGAACUGCAUGGCUGGAGUGCAGGAGGGGCAGGCGGAAUUCCUGGUGUAGCGGUGAAAUGCGUAGAUAUCAGGAGGAACACCGGUGGCGAAGGCGGCCUGCUGGACUGCAACUGACGUUGAGGCCCGAAAGCGUGGGGAGCAAACAGG